rnacentral:rRNA from 1 species
UAGGGAAUCUUCCGCAAUGGACGAAAGCCUGACGGAGCAACGCCGCGUGAGUGAAGAAGGAUUUCGGUUUGUAAAACUCUGUUGUUAGGGAAGAAAAAAUGUAUAGUAACUAUAUACAAAAGAGACGGUACCUAACCAGAAAGCCACGGCUAACUACGUGCCAGCAGCCGCGGUAAUACGUAGGUGGCAAGCGUUGUCCGGAAUUAUUGGGCGUAAAGCGCGCGCAGGUGGUUUAGAAAGUCUGAUGUGAAAGCCCACGGCUCAACCGUGGAGGGUCAUUGGAAACUAAUAAACUUGAGUGCAGGAGAGCAGAGUGGAAUUCCUAGUGUAGCGGUGAAAUGCGUAGAGAUUAGGAGGAACACCGGUGGCGAAAGCAGCUUUUUGGCCUGCAACUGACACUGAGGCGCGAAAGCGUGGGGAGCAAACAGG